CGCCGGAGGCUCGGCUGGGCGGCGCUCCAACAGCUCCGGGCAGGUGCGCGCGGGGAGGAAGUGAGCGCAUUCCGACCCCCCAGCCGCUGGCCCUUCGGCAUCGUUGGCUCUCCAGGAAGCAUUUUCCAUGGAAAAAACUGCUCUUCUGGACCGUCUUUUCACAAAACUGCUAUCUGUGGCCCUCACAAUAGAACGAAAUUUCUUUACACUAACAGUGUCAGGAGCUGGAACUGGAGUUAAUCCAUCUGUGUUAAAGAAAGAGCUGCCCUAAGGUUUUCAUUUCUACCAGGUUGAGGGCAAGAGACGUUGUUGGGGGGCUUGCCUUUGGCCUCUGUGCCCAGGGAUUCCAAUUGUAUGCUCCUCAAAGGUAAGUCUAUCAUUCAGCUUUUUGUAUUCACCCCCAUAGCUUGUGCAAGGCAGCCAGUGUUCAAUAAAGUAUCGUACCUAAGAAUAAAAUGGCAUUGUCCUUAAUUUCCCCCCAAAACCACUAGGUGUCGCCUUCAUCUCAGAGAAAUUACGCCCCUCCACUCCCUGCCCGCCCACCCUCCUCCCUCUACUCCAGCUUUCUCAGCUUCUUGGCACUCUGAUUUCUGGAGAAGUGGCUUGAAGCAGGAGACAAACUGUGGCUCUUGGCAGGGAGAGGAGCAUGGGUUUAUGUGCAUCUCCUUUAUGACAAUUUGAGGAAAACUCCCUAAGGUCCCAUGCAGCCCCUCCCAGCAACCAUGAUAUCAUCCCUCACACGCUGUUCCUCGGGAUCAGAUCAGCACUCCAGAUAUGGGGUGUCUGGGGUGAGCCUUCUAGGAUGGAAGCUUGGGAGUGGGGUGGAACCCAAGGGGGGCACAAUGGGCUUCCACUACUGGGGAAACGUUUUGCAUAAUCAGUCUCUGAGCCUUUAUCAGGUGCAAGCCCAGGCUGUGCAGGAAGACAAAAGAGAGAAGAGGCUGCUCUGGGCUCCCACCCUGGAGCAGAUGGUGUGGCGGGAGCCCAGUGGGCUAUGGUGGCCUCUGAGGACACGGGAGGGCACAUUGGGGUCGUGGGGACAGGAAGAGGGAGAUUGGAGGGUUGAGUCCUAAGGAAGAAGGAGACUCAUGGACUUCGUAAGGACUCAGGAAAAAUCGGUCACCGGAGCGCCUUGGUCCCGGAGGGGCUUAUCUUCCAGGGAGCAGGCAUGUCUUACUGGUGAAGGAGGGAGAGGUUCCCGUCAAUGAGAGGGGUGCUAUCGUUUACUAGGUGGAGGACAAGUGAGGAUACCGAAUAUGUGGGGAUCCCUGACUGUUUCCUGGAGGCUGGAGUGUUUGAGGGACUCAGGGGAGUUAAGAAAGGAGACCCUAAGAAGAGCGGGAUA